GACGAACGCUGGCGGCGUGCCUAAUACAUGCAAGUAGAACGCUGAAGGAGGAGCUUGCUUCUCUGGAUGAGUUGCGAACGGGUGAGUAACGCGUAGGUAACCCGCCUGGUAGCGGGGGAUAACUAUUGGAAACGGUAGCUAAUACCGCAUAAUAGUAGAUGUUGCAUGACAUUUGCUUAAAAGGUGCAAUUGCAUCACUACCAGAUGGACCUGCGUUGUAUUAGCUAGUUGGUGGGGUAACGGCUCACCAAGGCGACGAUACAUAGCCGACCUGAGAGGGUGAUCGGCCACACUGGGACUGAGACACGGCCCAGACUCCUACGGGAGGCAGCAGUAGGGAAUCUUCGGCAAUGGACGGAAGUCUGACCGAGCAACGCCGCGUGAGGGAAGAAGGUUUUCGGAUCGUAAAGCUCUGUUGUAAGAGAAGAACGAGUGUGAGGGUGGAAAGUUCACACUGUGACGGUAUCUUAACAGAAAGGGACGGCUAACUACGUG
rnacentral:rRNA from 1 species